GAUGAACGCUGGCGGCGUGCCUAAUACAUGCAAGUCGAGCGAACGGACGAGAAGCUUGCUUCUCUGAUGUUAGCGGCGGACGGGUGAGUAACACGUGGAUAACCUACCUAUAAGACUGGGAUAACUUCGGGAAACCGGAGCUAAUACCGGAUGAUAUUUUGAACCGCAUGGUUCAAAAGUGAAAGACGGUCUUGCUGUCACUUAUAGAUGGAUCCGCGCUGCAUUAGCUAGUUGGUAAGGUAACGGCUUACCAAGGCAACGAUGCAUAGCCGACCUGAGAGGGUGAUAGGCCACACUGGAACUGAGACACGGUCCAGAGGCCUGCGGGAGGCAGCAGUAGGGAAUCUUCCGCAAUGGGCGAAAGCCUGACGGAGCAACGCCGCGUGAGUGAUGAAGGUCUUCGGAUCGUAAAACUCUGUUAUUAGGGAAGAACAUAUGUGUAAGUAACUGUGCACAUCUUGACGGUACCUAAUCAGAAAGCCACGGCUAACUACGUG
rnacentral:rRNA from 1 species